AUCUCACUUAACCCCUGGAUACUAUACCCUUUACUCUAUAGGCAUACAAUUAAUCAUCGACACUCUUUAUUAUUCUCCAAUCACUAAAUACAUGUCGCCUUAUCAACACGGUCAUUCAUAUUAGCCAUACGUCACUUUUGUAUUUUGUUUACCAACAACUUUCCACGCGUUUACCUCGUUCUGGCAUAUCCCAGUGAUAUCCUCCCAUUGGUAUUGUAUAUUUUGACGUAUAGACGGUCCACGUGUUCGACGUGUUUUCUUUUUUGACAGUUCCAAAACAAUCGUCUCUAGCACGUGUCACUGCAUACAAUAUAUUUCACGAAACACACAUAUAUGUAUGAUUUUUGAGUAAACAUAUGUUACAUCUCUAAUUUAUCACGUACAUUAUUUUAUAUAAAAAAAUCGUGCGCAAUUUGCUAAGGAUUUGAAUGCUUGCCAACUGUCCAAAAAAUAUACUCAAUUCCUUAAUCGACUGUACGAACCUGUUUUUUUUUUAUUGUCUAUGAUGAAUCCUAAUCUGCAUAAUUUUUACGUCAUCAUUGAAUGCUGGGGAAUUGCGGUAGAUGGUCAUACUAUACCUAUAUCUGAAUGGAGUUUGUACAGAGUAUACAUAUGUGUAAACACAAGUACACAGGCUAUUAUGUCAGACCUGCAUUCCACUGUACGAAACGUGAUGUCGCGUGUCUUGCCAACAUUCCAGGACCCUUUAGCUAACAGGAGUAAAAGUCCGUAUGGUAUUUUACGCGAAUCCAAGACGGUUCGUAACAUAUGUCGGUAUGACAGAUUGACAUAAUGAACUGUCAUGAAUUAUUUAGCCACGUGCCACUAAUUGGGAAGUUCAUAUUUUUACAUUUCCAAGCACACGAAAUCAGUACUGCGUAUCGGUGCGUCGCCGUUUCCUUUUUCGUCGUUUGUCUCGUCCGUACAUAUUUUUUUGAGCCCUCGUUAACUCGCCGAAAUAUAAUAUGGUGUCGCAACGCGCAAAAUCUCUUAAGUGAUUCCAUAAACGUCAGAGCGCGUACAGCUAACGCGCAAAGUCUUACGCAACAUUCGCAAUGUGGAACGCGACUGGUAACCUUAAGAUUCCGCGAGUGCAUCCGCGCCGAUUUACAUUCUUUCCCAACGCGUGCUGAUGCAAAGCGUGCAAUUUGCCAGGCGUUACGGAAUUCAUGGUAAUUUAGGUAAAACCGUGUGUCAGCCAGUAGAUAAAACCAACCGGAUCUAAGGACAGCCGGAAAAUCCUCAAGCAACUCAGCGACACUUCCGACUAUCGUUUCUACAGUGGCGAAGCAGCCAGUCUCGUCCCUUGUCCGCCACGUGACUCUAGUGUCAAUGGGCGAACCCAUAUUUCGCUUCCGAGUGGCCGGAAUACUCAAAUGUCUGGUCGACUUAAUCAACGACACGUCCGUCGAAUGCCGAAUUGGACAAGUCGCACCUGCAAGUAAGCGACCAUACGAUUUUACCAUUGCACGUCGGCCAACGUAAAAUCAAAAUAGACGUUAGGACGUUUAUACCUGAUGGCUGCCAAUAUAGAUAUAUACACGGUUACAACAACAGCCAUGACACA